UACGUAGGGGGCAAGCGUUGUCCGGAAUCAUUGGGCGUAAAGAGCGCGUAGGCGGCCCUGUAAGUCCGCUGUGAAAGUCAAGGGCUCAACCCUUGAAUGCCGGUGGAUACUGCAGGGCUAGAGUCCGGAAGAGGCGAGUGGAAUUCCUGGUGUAGCGGUGAAAGUGCGCAGAUAUCAGGAGGAACACCGGUGGCGAAGGCGGGUCUCUGGCCGAAACUGACGCUGAGGAGCGAAGCGUGGGAGCAACAGG
rnacentral:rRNA from 1 species